ACCGCAAAGGGCAAACCCGGAGCGAUUCGGGGACGCAAAGCCACAGGGCCCCUGGGGCCGGCUGGGCUGCCGGUG
rfam:Armatimonadetes bacterium RBG_16_67_12 RBG_16_scaffold_10016, whole genome shotgun sequence.